GUGCUUUGGCAGCACACAUCCUAAAAUUGGAGCGAUGCAGAGAAUAUUAGCACGGCCCCUGUGCAAGGAUGACAUGCAAAUUUGUAAAGUGUUCCAUAGUUUU